rnacentral:lncRNA from 1 species
AGUUUUGGUCAAAAACGGCGUCGGAAGCAGCCUCGGCAUAUCUUCGCCCCACGAUUCUCCACCUUUCCGGUCCACUGACGGCGAAGCCAUACAGCUCAGGUCGUCUCGCCGCCUAAUUCAGUACCGGAAAAUCAAUAACUCCGAAAAAAAGAGGGAGAAUUAUCGCACUUACACUUGCAAGUAAUAAAUAAUUCAAUUGAAGACGAGGCAAUUCUGGAAGGUUCUGAUGAUGGAUAAAUCCAUUUAAGAGAGAGAGGAAUUUGAACAAGGAGAGACGAAGUUUCGGAAGACAGGUGAAAGUGAAGAAGGUUCUGCGCAGGAACAGAAAUUGGAGGCUGCUGCUGCUGGUGGUCUACACAAGCACACUGCAGGUUUUUAAAGGCGCUUUUGUAUUUAAAACUUAUCUAUCACUAUGUAACAGUAACACCAUUUACGUGGAUUUCAAUAAUCUGCAAUUUCAAUAUUCAACAACGGAUCGGUGGAGAAUUUCGUGGGCUGGUUUUUUAUUUUUAUAGUUUUGGUCGUAAACUGCAGCUUUUCCAAAAAUUUCAUCAAGAUUGUGUAAGGUUUCACACUAGCAAAAUAUAUUCGCCAACCUCUUUUCUUUCUUUUUUAAGUCGAUUUGGUGAAUUAGGGGAAUCAGAUCUACGGUCCAUNCCUGGGGUGUACCGUACACUCACGGUUGAACCCGUACCCAAAUUCUGAUCCGCAUCUUAAUUCAAAUCGUGUAAAUGUACACUAUUCGAUUAUACAAAUGCACUGUAUGUAAUAGACACUAUUACUGUUAUACAAAUGACACUGCGUAUAAAUGACAUAAUAACAUUGUAAAUGACAUUAUGUAUAAUUGACACUAUUCAGAAAUAUAAAUGACACUUUCUGUAAUUAAUUGACACUAUAAGAUUGUAAAUGACAUUAUAGUAUUUUAAAUAACACUAUAAUAUUUUAAAAUGUUACAGUGUCAUAUAUAUAAUUGAAUAAUAUCAUAAAUAGUGUUAUUUGUAUAAUUGGAUAAUAUUAUUUACACGGUUUGGAUCGAAAUGCAAGUUUGGAUUAGCAUGAUGAGUGUAAAGGAGAUUUUGUGUUCCAUUUAAAUAAGACGUAGUCGUAGAUACAUGUAAAUAUUUUGAAUAUCCUCCAAAAAAGUAGUAAAUAUUUUCAAAAUUAAGAAAAAGUCGGGAAAUUUCCCGAAUAGUGUUGCAUUGCAUUUGCACAUGCUAUUGAAAACACAAUCCAAAUCCAAAUCCUAUUUUUGUCAAGAGUCAAAGUGUACACGUUAGUCCCUAGCGUCUCCCGGGAGGCGAAGCUCCAAAUCCAUGUGAUGCUCCGCCGACGUAGCUUCAGUUUCCCUCCCCUUUCGCGUCAUUUCUUGGCAGAAUCUGGUCAUCGGUAGAAGCUCCAGAGGCUUCACAUUUUCCGUCAUGUAUAAUUUACAAGCACGUGCACGCGCAUGUUCCUCGCUUCCGGCGUAGUUGGACAUCAAAGCGUAAAUGUUGCUACAUAGAUUCUUCAUGUGCCUCAACUCUUUAUUGAGCUGCACGUUUUGCUGCCGCAGCCGCUCGUUCUCGUCAAUUAGCUCCGCCGGGCUACCCACUGCCUGAUCCUCCGACUUCGCCGCCAUUCUCCUACGCUGAAUGUCUCGCAACAGAUGCGUCUCGCCUCUACGGAAACACUCGUUCGAGAACUCCCACCGAUCUGGCACAACCUUCCUAAAUCCCUAAAACUCAACCUCAAAUUAAACAUCUGCAGAAUUAAAUGGAAAUAUACCCCAGUGCUUGAAGCUUACGUAAGUGUUGAGCUGGCGAACGAAGCUGGAGAAAUUGUUGUGCUUAAAGUACUUUGGGAGCAAAUCUCUGGCGAACUCCGCCGGAUUCCACACGAUGAAAGCGGAAAAAAUCCGUCCACGUUCCAGGAGAUGAUGUCGUCCACGGCGCGGUCGUCGACGAUCUGGUAAGUUUGGUCAAAACGGCGUCGGAAGCAGCCUCGGCAUAUCUUCGCCCCACGAUUCUCCACCUUUCCGGUCCACUGACGGCGAAGCCAUACAGCUCAGGUCGUCUCGCCGCCUAAUUCAGUACCGGAAAAUCAAUAACUCCGAAAAAAAGAGGGAGAAUUAUCGCACUUACACUUGCAAGUAAUAAAUAAUUCAAUUGAAGACGAGGCAAUUCUGGAAGGUUCUGAUGAUGGAUAAAUCCAUUUAAGAGAGAGAGGAAUUUGAACAAGGAGAGACGAAGUUUCGGAAGACAGGUGAAAGUGAAGAAGGUUCUGCGCAGGAACAGAAAUUGGAGGCUGCUGCUGCUGGUGGUCUACACAAGCACACUGCAGGUUUUUAAAGGCGCUUUUGUAUUUAAAACUUAUCUAUCACUAUGUAACAGUAACACCAUUUACGUGGAUUUCAAUAAUCUGCAAAUUUC